rnacentral:rRNA from 1 species
CCUACGGGCGGCAGCAGUGGGGAAUAUUGCGCAAUGGGCGAAAGCCUGACGCAGCGACGCCGCGUGAGGGAUGAAGGUCUUCGGAUCGUAAACCUCUGUCAGCAGGGAAGAACGGUCACUGUGCUAAUCAGCAGUGAAUUGACGGUACCUGCAAAGGAAGCACCGGCUAACUCCGUGCCAGCAGCCGCGGUAAUACGGAGGGUGCGAGCGUUAAUCGGAAUUACUGGGCGUAAAGCGCUCGUAGGCGAUAUGUCAAGUAAAGGGUGAAAUCCCCGGGCUCAACGUGGGAACUGCCUUUGAAACUGGCAAACUGGAGUGUGUGAGAGGAUAGUGGAAUUCCAGGUGUAGGAGUGAAAGCCGUAGAUAUCUGGAGGAACAUCAGUGGCGAAGGCGACUAUCUGGCACAUAACUGACGCUGAGGAGCGAAAGCGUGGGUAGCAAACAGGAUUAGAUACCCCAGUAGUC